rnacentral:rRNA from 1 species
GACGAACGCUGGCGGCGUGCUUAACACAUGCAAGUCGAACGAUGAACCCGGAGCUUGCUCCGGCGGAUUAGUGGCGAACGGGUGAGUAACACGUGAGUAACCUGCCCUUGACUCUGGGAUAACUGCUAGAAAUGGUAGCUAAUACCGGAUACGACCCUCGGUGGCAUCACCAGGGGGUGGAAAGAAUUUCGGUCAAGGAUGGACUCGCGGACUAUCAGCUAGUUGGUGAGGUAACGGCUCACCAAGGCGACGACGGGUAGCCGGCCUGAGAGGGUGACCGGCCACACUGGGACUGAGACACGGCCCAGACUCCUACGGGAGGCAGCAGUGGGGAAUAUUGCACAAUGGGCGCAAGCCUGAUGCAGCAACGCCGCGUGAGGGAUGACGGCCUUCGGGUUGUAAACCUCUUUUAGUAGGGAAGAAGCGAAAGCGACGGUACCUGCAGAAAAAGCACCGGCUAACUACGUGCCAGCCGCCGCUGUAA